UGUGCAGAGACUAUCCAGUUCACUGACUACUCCAUGGAACUCAAGAACAAUGGUCAUUAGAAAGGAUAAAGGGAAGCAAUUUGUAGCCUCCUCUCUCCCCACCACCCCCUGCAGUUUCUCAUCUCAAUAGGCACACAGGGCUGCCUUGUCAGAAUACACUGAACAACAACUGGCUAUUCACGCAUAGAAAGGUGUUCCGUAAGUGUCCCAUCAAUGUACUGGCUCUAUGCUGGAAUGUGAGAUUUGAUGGGCUCAAAUACAGAGAAAUUUUGUUUCAAGGAAUCAAGCAUCUUGUGCAAAGCUUUCAAAAUGUAAGCAGGUGCUGUGAACUGUAGUAUUGGUAUACUACCAAGUAAAAGAACAGCAGAGGAAAAGAUAUCAAAAAUGUAAAAAGAAUUAAUGUGAAAUCGAGACUUAGUUUUAUUAUAUGAGGGUUAGCCACUGUUUUACUGACCUACAUCAAUUGAGGAUUACAGAGAUUAGUGAAAGGAAUACUUAAUAGCUGAACUGUGGAUUCCAAAGAGGAUUAUCUGGUAAGAUAUUUUAUGUAUCCUGAUGCUUUAUUGAACUUAUUAAGGGCCUGAUUAACUCAACAAUAACAGUAACAUCAUUUUCCAAAAUGGAAUGUGAUAUGAGUAUACUAAAAUUAAAAGUAUAUCAGAGGUAUACUUCAUCUAGUAUGUUAAUCAUACUGUAUUCUUGUACUGGAACUAUUUUGUAUGAACUGUAAUACAAAUUGCAGGAAGCCUUGUGAUAAAAAAACUUAGGUAAGAUUUUUACAAAUCCUGGAGAACUGGGUGAACUUUCACUUGACAAUCUCUUGAAUUGAAUAACUGGAACUCUACUGAAGCCUGGGUUUUCUGGAGAUCACUACAAACAUCAAAAAGAACCUCUUCAAACACCUUAGUUUACUGCUUGCCAUUCUAUGAGGUGCAGUUUGAGCACAACUUAACAAUUGUAUCAUUACUUUUUAUGUUACCUAUUUACAAUUAUAUGUUAGAAUAAGACCCUUAUAUUCAUUCAUUAAUCCUAUUGUGGCCCAUUUUAAAUCUCUACUUAUCAGUUUAAAUACUUACCAUAAAUUAGAAUUCUUUUUUAAGCAGAUCUCAGGCACAUUGGCACUGAAAUGCAUAAUCCAUCCUCUUUUAUACCACAGCAGAAACAAUGCUUUGGAUUCUGAACAUAUAAAUUUGCUUGCACUAUAUUAUGUAUUUCAAAAAUUAACAAUAGCCAUAUCUGUUUCACCCAUGUUUUAAUAUCACUUUAAUAUCCAUUGUGGAUAUGAAGUUUUGGCAUACUUACAAUAUAGCUAUGCAGUGUAAAGCAAUUGUCAUUGCCAUUAUCACAUUCAGAUCAUUAUGACUAUAGGAAACUAUAUUUUAUAGUCUGGAAAAAUUAGGCUUAAAAACUAAUCAAUCACCACAACUCUUUUGAGAGGUAAGCAGUAACAUAUUCUUAUCCCUAUUUUACAGAUGGGACAACUGAGAGAGUUAAAACGAGAAAUGAUCUACCCAAGUCACAAAACAAGUCAAUCCAGGAGUAGAACUCAAGAGCUUUUGGCUCCCAGCUCCACAUGCAUAACUUUGGAUCAUGCCGCCUUGCUGCCAAUGUACUAAUAACAAUUUACUGCACAUCUCAAUACAGUGCAGUAAGUUCUGUGUGCUUAAGCAGAACAAUUCAUUUUUUCUCAUUAAUACUAAGUCUAUUUGUUGCUCAGCAGGACUAAUAUUUAUACAUUCUAGAUCUUGUGAUGCAGUAGCAAGCUCUGAUUUCAGUUCAAUCUGACAGGUUCUGAGAGCAAAAUGUCAUUAUAGAACUUCAAAAGCAAUUGCUCCAUAGCAAGAUCUUUACAAUUAUCUUUAUAAUAUCUUUCAGCUCCUGUUGGCUUCUUGAUCUUCUGUGGAAAUCCCAACUCGUCUGCCAGUUUUGGUUUAUGAAAAGUUGACCCUUAAGGCAUAACUAUUUUAAAAAAGAUAUGCCAAAAUGUUACAAGAUAUAGUAGAUUUCACCCAGUUUGUUAUCCCUUCUGGAAUACGCACUUAAUAAAAAUUGCAUUUUUACUAAGUAAUUGGCCAUAUGAAUCACAUGCUAUUCAUGUAUUGUUCAUGAAUCAAGCCAAGAGUCAUUUAAAAAUGACUAGCAUCAGGGAAACGUAAUAGCUUUUCAACAGAUUAUUUAAAUGACUGUAGCUAUGAUUUCCAAUAAUUUUUAUCCAAACAGCAAGGUUUUAGUAAACUGUGGCAGGACUCUCUCCGAAAAGAGUACGUUUCUGAUUAAAACCUUUUGCUACUGGAUUUAAGAAAUUAAAAAAAAAAGGGGAACCUCUGAGUUAUGUAUGCAUCUGUCAAAUCCUGGAUCUUUAUCAUGUAACAAUUUGACCAAUCACAGGUAAAAAAAGGGGUGGUUUGGGAAGGAUAUAUUUCACUUUAUGAAUCCAGCUAAUAACGUAGUUUAGUACUUUCUGAACAGGCAGUUCCUGCAAACUGACCAACCUGUAGAUUGUGUUCCUAGUAGUUUCUGGUGCAAUAGUUUGGCAUGCAUGAUGCAUUUGGAGAGUGAUUUCCCAGCAUUCCAGCAACAUAUGAACUUUAGCUAGAAUUUCUUAUCACAGAUAAGCACCAGUUCGAAUUCCUUGAUUGUUUGAUUGUCUAUACUAUAAAGCCAGAUGUAUUUUACAGCAUCAGCUGUAUUCACCUAUUUCUUUUCUUGUUGUUGCAGCUUGCAUCCUUGACCUGAUUUUGCCAAUGGCUACCUGGCCUCUCAACACAUUGUUGCUUUUCAGGAAUAUUUUCUAAUAAUGACAACUAUAGUUAACAUUUAUAUUUAUACUGUACAAUUAUACUUAACUAUUUAAAAUUUCUAAAAGCUGCAAAACAUUCAUUAAUUUGCCAGAUAAAAUCACUAUGGGGUAGACAAAUAGGAUCAUUACCCCCAUGUUAUAGAUGAGGAAACUGAGGCUGAAAGAUUAAAUGUCUUGCCCAGUGUCACAUGGCAAGUCUAGUGGCAGAAGGAGGGUUAAACUGAAAGUUACCCCUUGUGGGUGCAUUCCUCGAAACUGGGUCUCUCAUCUUUGUUUAAUAGUGUAGACCAUAUCUUAGUAGAGGGAUUCCCCUGUGAACUCCUCUUGUCUCCUCAGGAUCCCAUGUGAUCUCAACUACAGAAAUUGUUUACAAAGAAAAAUAAUAUUAGGAAAGUGCCAGCCUGCUGUGACCAGCCAGCAACUCCCCGUUCACCAGCAAGUACCCUGUGGACAACCAGCAGUUCACUGAUCACAGUCUGAGAAUCACUACUUUAGCACUAUAUCUUGAGGUUUAUUCCUCUAGGUCACAUUGCCUCCUGGAACAGUAUUGUUAACUAAUCUUUUAUUAAACAAUUCUCCAAGCACAAAUAAAGAAUUUGGGUUGUUAACAUACAUAAGUUAUAUUAAAGAAGGUUUCAGAUCAGCACAUUGUAUUUUGUAGCAAAGUCAUAAAAUAUGCUAACAUGCUAACAUCUAAUGAGGGAAAUGUUGCAUGCAGAUGUCUGUUUGCCUAUUAUCCCAUAAAAUGACUGUAUAUUUUUAUUUAUAUGAGUAACAUCAGACACAAAUGUGUUACCAUAAAUGCAUUCAUUUAGGAAAAUGUAUAAACACAAUAUGAAACUAAUAUAUAUGUAAAACUGUUUUAAAACCUGAUAUUUAAUGUUUAU